UACCGUCGAUUCUGAGACCCCACUGGAAAAGGUAUAUUGAUAGAUACCAGAUAGUUUUCCCUCUCUCUCUCUCUCUGAUAAUAUUGGCAUAAAAAGAUGUCAGGGAUAGUACGCCAGGGUUGGAAUUCUCUUUCUUUCUCUCUCUCUUUCCAUCUCUAUCUGUAACUUCCUCAGGAGCAAUGGCGGACCUUCUAAGUUUAAGUCUACUCAACUCUCCACAGCUUAUUAUCGAAACCCUUGUAGGUUACUUCCUUCUUGUUCGACGACGGUCUUCUUUUAUUACUGGACCAUCUCACAUUGCCAAUUCUGAGUUGCGCUACACGAGCUAUAUCGGGAACUCCUUGAGAGUCAACAAAUGAUUGAAGCGAAGCUUGACAAACACAUGACACAUUUCAAAUUCAGAUGUCAGGAAAAUUUUAUUGCCAUAACAACUCUCACUUCCAAGGUGGAUUAAUUUUGUGGAGCUUUAAUAUCAAUAAAUGAGACCAAGCAAGACCGUUUACACCAGUUCCUCAGUUUGGUACUCUACAGCUCACAUAUAAGCGUCCGAUACCACCACCAAAGCUAACUUUUCCCCAAGACGUCACACGACAAUCCAUAGAUGAUAACAACAUCAAGGUCAAGAUUAUCGAUUUUGACAGUGAAAGAAAACCUAAUUUUUUCUUAACUAGUUGACUAAGGUCAGGAGGAUUUUUGCAUACAAUUCCUUUUUGAAUGACAAAAAGGGCAUUCAUCAAAUUCACGAGGUAGGAAUGUUUGUGGUGGGAUGUUGUGCUACAAUCAACAUUUAUUAGGUGAAUUGGUUUUGUCACCAAUAGGGAGGUUAUGAAGCAAAUAUUGAAUCAAUAAUUUGUUCCUCCAAAUUUUGAGAAGGUGAUCUUCCACAAGAUGGCCAACUUCCUUGAAGGUAGUGAGGAUGUGGAUACCGGAACCAUGGAAUUCCACAAGUUUUACAGAUCAACAAUAAGAAUUGAGUUAUAUCUAUGGGCUGAACACAGAGAUCCGGUUAGAGCUUGCUAAUAGAGAUUUUAGAUUGGUUGAUGUGGUAGCUACUUAUUUCAAGACAUCUGAAGAAUAAAUACAGCUACUUGAAGGACAUACUCGAGAUUUUUCAGCUUAUAGACCUACAUCCAAUACUAAAGAAAGGAAAUUUGUGCCCUGCAAGGUGGAAGAAAAGAAGCUGGAGGUCUCCAAGCGUAACAAAUGGAUGAAAAACGUCAGGCGUCACAAUUGUGGUGAGAAAGGUCACUUUGGAAACAAAUGUCCCCACAAGAUCUGUUCUUUGACCAUGGUUGAUAGACAAUUGGCAAAGAUGGAGAACAAGGAUGAGGUGGAGAUUGGUCAGACUAUUCCUUCUAAUCUAGAUGAUGACUCCGAUUAUAGUCUUGAUGAUUAGGUUGAAGCUAAAUCGGCUAGUCUUACCCCUUCUUCAAUUGCUUAGUAGAGAAAGUUCCCCUUUUCGAACAAAAGGGUGCUCUACUACAUGAUGAGGAUUCUAUGACAAUCAAUACAGUUGUUGACAUAGGAGUGAAGGGCAACCUCAUCUCAACAGACUUAGUUCAAGUACUUUACCUCCUAUGGAAACAACUUUUCUAGAAUUUUUAUAUGAGGUUUUGAGCCUAAUGCUAGAGAAGAGGCUGAUGUCACUGUUUUUCUUGGGCCACCAUGUCUAGGGCUCUUCUACUUGUUUCUUCUGUAGUACAUUUAUUCAAACAUAUUUUACUCUUACAAACAAUUUUCAAAACAUUGUAUUGACAGGUGCAAAAGCGGAACACUUUUUUUUAUAACUAAAUAAUGAUGUCGACAAAGUGUCCACUUAAUUUAUGGUUUGAAUCUUUGACCGAACGCCAUGUGAUACAAAAAUAACAUUGGCGCUGAAUUUUGGCUUUGUUCGUGUGGAAAACCCACUUGUAAACCAUUAUAUAUGCUUUGGUGACUCGUCAACACUUGGGCUAGAGAGACCAAUAUUUUUUUUUUGGAUGAAUAAAAAUUUCAUUACCGUAAGAGAGAAGAAUAUACAAAGAGAAAGAAAGGUGGGGGGAGAAGGCUUAGAGCAAGCCAACAAAGCAAAAAUAGUAACACAAAACACAUAAGCCAGAAGGGGUACAACAAAAUCAUCAGGGAAGGGGGGAAACAAGAUGGAGGACAGGAGGCCCUGUGUACAAGUAUACAACAAUAUGCCUUGGGGAGUCCCUUACAUUAUGAUGGGGGAUGGAGGCAAGAUUGGAGUUGACGUCGAAGUAGAUGGCUUCCCAAAUCUGAUCAUAAGAUCUGGAGUUGGACGUCCAUGUACAAAGAUUUCACUCUAUCCAAAUAUGGCUGAUGGUGACACAAAAGGCGAGCUUUCCAGCGGUGUCACAUAUAGAGGAACCAACAAAAGUCGUAUCAACCUAGAUCCAUUUUCUACUAAAGGGGAGGGCAGCUCUCCGUGAAGGCCAACGACUAAUAAGAAUCCUCUUCUAGAUGAUAGAGGAGAAAGGGCAGGAGAAAAAGAGAUGAUCAACAUCUUUUGUACAAUUCCAGCAAUGAUAGUAAGAGGAGGGGGAUCUGAAUGUGCCAGUAGAUAAAGAAAGACUACUUAGGGAGGCAAUGGAAAUGGCUCACCAAGCUGUGAAGCUAUGAUGGGGGAUGUGGCCUGUAAACCAAAUAGACUUACUCCUAGGGACAAGGGGGCCUUUAGAUCUGACUAAUCCCAAGCAGAAGAAGAGCUAAGCAAACCAAAAUGAGAGGGAAACCAAGAUAUUUUAUUUUAAAUUACGCCAAGGGACAAGGGGGCCUUUAUAUUUGACUAAAUCCCAAGCAGAAGAAGAGCUAAACCAGAGUGAGAGGGAAAGCAAGAAAUGUUAUUUUCUCUACCGCCAAAUAAAUUCUUCAUUGUGCUUGAUUUUGAUAUCCCUUUAUCUUUAUUUAAAAGUUUGUCCCUUUUUUCCACUUAGUAUUUGCUUCAAUACUUCCUUAAGGUCCAUAGAUUUUGAAUCGUUCUUGUGAGAUUUAACAUAAGUUUUUUGUAAUACAUUGAAGUAAAAAUAUUUACAUGCUGAAUAACCAAGGAAAAUAACAUUUCUGAAGACUGUGAGGGAGUGCUAGUGUCUUGGCAUCUACAGACCGGUAAGCUGGUAAAUUUGGUAACAUUGAGCCAGGUACCAAGGCAGUAGUAUAUUGUAUGCCAUGUAUGAGUAGCAUGCUGUAUGCCAUGCAUGAGUAAUGUUGCUGAGCAGUUUUUAGAUAUCAAACGGACCUCCUCGGAAGGUAAUUUUAAUGUGGCCGAUUUACCCUCUUUUGCAAUCAGUUUCGCCACAACACCUACUGCUCUAGCUAAUUGUCCACCCUGUCCAAGUCCUUAUAACUUACAAGCGAGAAAAACCCUUCUAGAGAGGCUGAGGCUAAAGGGAAAGAAGAAAGCAAAGCUAACUACUAAAAGACAGACCGGUAAGCUGGUAAGUUUGGUAACAUUGAGCCAGGUACCAAGUCAGUAGCAUAUUGUAUGCCAUGCAUGAGUAGCAUGCUGUAUGCCAUGCAUGAGUAAUGUUGCUGAGCAGUUUUUAGAUAUCAAACGGACCUCCCCGGAAGGUAAUUUUAAUGUGGCCGAUUUACCCUCUUUUGCAAUCAGUUUCGUCACAACACCUGCUGCUCUAGCUAAUUGCCCACCCUGUCCAAGUCCUUUUAACUUACAAGCGAGAAAAGCCCUUCUAGAGAGGCUGAGGCUAAAGGGAAAGCAGAAAGCAAAGCUAGCUACUAAAAGACAAGAACAAAUAUCCUUGCUAGUGAAAAAGAGCCAAUGUCCAUCUCUUCAGUGCGAGUUGUUGGCCGGAUCGUGGAACUUGCUCCAUUAUAAAUGACUUUUUUCCUUUAUCAUGGUUGGGGAGGAAAACAGAGAGGCGAAACUCAUCUGGUAACUCUUUAGGAACUUAGUCUGAAAAGUCGAAGAUCAAGUCCCUAAUUGGCUUGGAAGGCUUGAUCUCUGCUUAAGGACUCACUUCCCCAAUAAAAAGAGCCACAAUAAGUCCCAGAUCUUAUAAGCUCCUCCUCUGUGAUGGUCAACAUCUUUGUUCCAGCAUUAGAAUCCUUCUGAUUAGUUGUCAAUGGCAUACACUACUUCCUCAGCUGGGACAUUGGUAGGGUGAAGAGUAGUACGCUUGCCUUUGAACUAGAGCACUCAAUGAUUCUUCAUCAGGUCAUUUUUUUGUAACCAUGGCUGUCUGAGUAGUACGUCUCUUGGCUUAAUGGGCACAACAUCACACCAUAAUUAUACUUCAUAACGAUAAAGUUUUGAAGGUACUGAACACCGUUGGUUUACCUCCAAUGUGCUGCCAUAAAGAAGAGAGACCUUAUACAGCUGUGGGUGCUUCUUAGUCUAUAAUUUUACCUUAUUUACAAAAGCCUUACAAGUCACAUUUACAUAGCUGCCACUUACUCUGAUCACAUCCUCUGGGGUGCCUUGGUGGUGAGAUGAUGAGGUUCAAGCAAGUGAGCAACCAAGGAUUGAAAUGUCGUUUUUAAGGCCGGAUUUGACUUUGGACGACACCGAGACACUGUAGAUUUUGCCUGAAACUCUGUUGAAAUUUGUUAUUUUUACUCAGCGUACUCGAAACCUUGGUUCAAGGUCGUGAAAGUGUUUUUUUGUACUAUUUUUCUCUGUAAUUCCUAUUUUUGACAUUUUAAAUCUAAUCCAUGAGUUAGUUUAAAAAACAAACCAUCCAAAAUGGUAGUUAUGGUUUUGACCCAAGUUUGUUAGUGUAUGCUGAAUGAUACUAUACACUAUCCUUGUUAUAAACACUAAGUCUACGUAUAAUUUAGCUACUGGAAAUGUAAAUAAGCUAUUGACUGAUGUAGAUAGGGUUGUCAAAAGGAGGACUCUAGCUGACCAAACCAUGGUUCAGUUCUGUCCCAAGUCUGGACCUGGUUCAGUCCCAUCGAGCCAGCCUUGUUGGCAGCAAUUUUGCACCUAUGCUGGUCCACUCCUGCAGCCGUCGAACCAGCAUAGCAGCCUCUUGAUUAGUGCAUAUUUUACUUCCCUAAUUGGUCUUCUAGAAUAGCCCAAGCAACCAUCUAUCCAUCUUGUCCAGUAGCUUCCAUAACUUGUGUUACUGUUCACGUGAACAAUAUUUUUCUCAGCAAGUUUUGGUCUUCAAAAGGAUCUUCUAGAAACUAUACAUCUGUGCCUUAUUCAGCUCCAAGAGAAGAUCUCCAGCAACAUCGAAUUUGCCAGCUAGUAUAGGAUUUAGUUUCCUUUUUUAGAUUGUCAAUUUAGUCAAGUUAGUUUCCUAUUUUGCAACUUAGGCUAGCUUCCUUUUUAUGUUCAGUUGUUAGUUUCUAAUUUUGUUAAGCUUGAUUAGAAAGUUAGACGCAAAAUUAGAAAAGUUUUAUUUUAGUCCAUUAGUUUUCUUUUCUAUUAUCCUUUAUGCCUAAGUUAUGUAAGCCUAUAAAGAGGCACCCAUCGCCUGUAAUAGCUAGGAUUUGAUGAAUGAAAUUAUUGAGUGCAAGCUCUUGGCUGAAGAGCUAUGUUUGAGAGGUGAGAUGACUAACCCAUUGAUGCGUGUGAUAUCCAAAACCUGAGAGGUGAGAUACCCGUUCCACCAUUUUUCUUCCACCCUCCAUCAAUUCUCUUUAUUUUAUUUUAUUUUUCUUCUUUAUUUCAGUUUGUGAUUUGAGAGUGGAAUGAACAUUGUUUGGAGACUUGAAGCCCUCUAACAUUGCUGAUCAGAGACAAACACACAACCUAUCGAUGUUCAAUUACAAGGUUUUCCCGAGAAAAAUGUUUGAGUACAUAACUUCUGGACCAGAUCUAUGUUCGCUGAGGAUUUUGAGAGUUUGUUGAGGACCUUAGGAGGACCACUCGAUCCAAAUUUGAGCAUCAUCCGAAGUUGGAAGCUCAAGUUAUUGAACAAACACCAUAAGUUUCCUUUUUCAUGUCGAAAACAUAACUCUCAAUUUAACCAUCGGAAUUGUCUCAUAUUUUGAGGGUUUGUUAACCCAUAUAAGACCUUCAUCUACUCUAAGUUUCUCCUUUAUCUGAGCUAUGGUUUGUGAGAUCUCAUAUUUCUCUUGAUUCACCCAUAUUUUUCAGAUCCUGCCUGGGAUUAUGAUCACUUGUGAUUCUAGUCUUACAUCAUUGAAACAAUCAAAGCAUACGUUAGAAUGAAAAAACAAGCAUACAUAACAUGAUACAUUGGAGGAGUUAUGUUACGGUUAAACCUUAUUUGGUGUGUGCUAAUGUUGUUAAAAUCUUGGUUGAAUGAAAAUAAAUUUUUACAUAUCAAAACAAAAUAUUAUUUCACCUCUCUUUUGUUUUUUAGUGACGUUUUAUCAUAAUAAGAUUUAUGAAAUCUUUAGAUUUGAGAAAAACCUUGCAUUUGAAAGUUGAAAAUCAUCCUUACAACCGAAAAUUCAGUUUUUGUUCUUGAACUAGGGGGGUUAUUGGAUUUCUUAACUAUUUUGGAAUUUGAUUUCUUAACUAUUUUUAUUGGAUUCAUUUGGGGUAAUUUGCAUUUUUAUGAAAAUAUCUAAAGUAAAUAGAAUAAUAAUUAUAAAGUCAUUUACUUGAAUAUUAUUAGGCAUAAAUCAAUGAUGUUCCUGGGUAUCUCCAAGUUUCCAAUGGGAUAUUCUAGUUCUGUGUUGAACCUUGUUGAAAUAGACAUGUUUUGUGGGAGACAUGCGACUUUAAAGCUUAGGUUGCACUAGGUUUGGUUCGGAAUCUUCAGAAACCUGGUCGAAACACAUUGAAACCAGGUUCGAUACCAUUUCACUUCUAGGUUGCAAGAAACCAGGAUAUCUAGGUCGAAAUUGCAUGUUUCAACCAAGAUGAUGAACCAUGUAAGUAGUCAUUAAGGCUAAGAAAACUAGUUUUAAGACAUGGCAAAGGCCUAAGGAUGUAGAAGAUUCUAAAAAGCAAAAAAUUGCUAGAAAUGAAGCUAAGAAAAUUUUGGGCAAAGAAAUAUGAGGAUCUUUAUAACACUUUGAGCACAAAGGAAGGGGAAAAUGCCAUAACUAAAAUGAGGGAAAGGAAGAGUAGAUAUUUUGACCAUGUUAGAUGCAUUAAAAAUGAAGAUAAAGUACUAAAAUAAGAGAUGGAGACAUUAAGGAGAGAUGAAAAUAUUAUUUCUACUUCUUACUAAAUGAAGACAUUUUGAUUAAUACUGCUAAGAAGGUUGAAGUAAAAAUUAUUUCUACAUCUUACCCAUCAAGACACCACAUGUCGUAGAUUAAAAAAAAAAAUGGGGUGCUUAAAGUAAAAGAAGUGUUAUGAAGGAUGUGAUGUAGGAGCACUUCCAUUGAUUGACCCGACCCUAUUUGAAAAACUAGACCAAGAACCGGAUCUAAUUGAUUUUUGGAGUUUAGUAGGAUUUUAUGAAGGUUUAUUUAUUUUGAGAAUAAUAAAAAAGGGUGUACCUAGUGCACGAGGUUCUCGCAUGUGUGAGGUCUGGGGGGUGAGAAUCACGCAGCCUUACCUCGAGAAUAUCGAGAGGCCGUUUCAACUUUGAGAAUAAUAUUAUAAUAUUUCUUUUAUUUAGGUAGAUCUUUUAUUUCCAUCUUUUAUUUCCUUUUCUUCUUAAUUGGGAAGAUUAGGGUAAGAUAUUUUAUUGUGCUUCCAAUCUGAGUUUAUUAUUUAGUAGAAUAGGUUUCCAUUUCUUGAGAUGUUUUCUUUUAUUUAUAUGUAACUCGAUGGACAGUAGAGAGCAGAUUUGAUAAUGAAUUGUUGGGUUUAUGUGGUGUAAGGUCUGCGUGGCUUGGGAGUUUGUACGAUUUCCCCUUCCCUCUUUCUUCUUCCUCUCUUUCUUUCCUCAUUCACCGAUCUCGCUGUUCACAAUCACAUCACUGGUUACUUUUUUCCUUCUUUGCCGGGUGGUGAUUCCAGAAUCAAAAGAGAGCUGGCUGGAUCCUUAAUUCUUGACGAUUGGUUCUCAUGUCUGGAUCUAAGGUUGCUAGCUCAUGGGUGAUGCAAACCCUAGGUUAUCACUUCCAAGGUUUUGUCCUGCUGUGAGAAUCGAACCAAUUUCAGAUCUGAUUCUUACCUUUUCAGGUUGCAGAGAUUUCUUGAGCAACGCCUGAUUGAUUGUUGGGCAUGUUACUGAUUGCAUCCUGAAGCGUUUGGGGAUAGCGAUUUUCCCCCCCUAUUUUCCGAUCAAUUGGAGCCCUUGUGAAGCUACUUGAGGGAUUUGGUAACAUACUCUAAGGAAAUUUUGGGAUUUACUAACAUACUUUAGGGAAAUUCUGUCUGCAAAAUUUUGGUAUCAGCGGCUGUUCUAGUUGUUAAAUCUGAAGUGAAGAUCAGAUUUGGUUCUGGCAUUCGCCAAGUCCAGUUUCGGAAGAUAAUUGUUUGAUCUCUGAACCAUAUUUGAUUCUGCAAGUUAAUGAUGUUAAGGGGGCUGGGGCUGGUGAAUCUUUCCUUAUAAUUUCAGUUGCUUUGAGCCUUGAUGGAGUUCUUUACAACAAAUUGAGUGAGGCUGGAUUCUGAACUCCUGGAAGUUACAAAUCUUGAUGGGCUAUUCCUGUAACUUCUUAGAACUCAUAAUUUCAAGUGUGAUGAGUGAGUACCAAGGAUUCAGAAGUCAAGAUUGGUAGUGGAAUUGGACUAUACCAUGUUGACUAGGUUGGUCCGGCCAAAAGUCACUGAGCCCGAGGAAAAUUGGGCAAUAAUGGGGGCUAUCAGGUGGAUUUUACUCAAAGUUUGAGGCAUGCUCCUUUUUAUUGUGAUUUUUUUCCUAACAUCAUUUGAAGGGAGAAGGCUGAUAUAGAUGAUCAAAGAGUUUUUUAAUUUUCUCAGUGAAUAAAUCAAGUAUGCUUAGGUAUAGUUUUUUGGGGGGGGUGGGGGUGUGAGUGUCUAUGUUAAAAACUUUUUAUUAGAACUCUACUAUUUGGAAGCUACACAUGAAUUCUGGCAUCAUUGUUUGGAUGAACUAUGAAGUUUGAAAUCUGUUGGAUGUUACUGCCCACGAUAUGUGAGUGUGUUACACAUUAAACCAAAAUUCUGACCCAAGAAACUAGGUGUAACCUACCCUAGGGCUCAGCAUCCAAAUGGGUCCCUUUGACUUUCAUAAUGUUGUGAUAAUUGUUGUUAUUUGAUUUUUAUGGGGUUCAUUCUUAAUUUUUUGCUAGAUAGAUGUUUGAGGAGGACAUCUUUAUCAUUAUUAAUUUUGUAAGUGAGAAACAUGAUGAUGGCAGUGAGUUUGGCAUUAUUGUUCUUCAAAAUUCUAUUUAUGUUAAUUUAAGAUCUUCAA